ACACCUUUGUAAAGACCUCUGUGUUCACCUAGAGCCUUCUAGCUGCAAUCUCCUUGAGAAGAGGGACUACGCACCUCAUGUUCACAUUCUACCUCCAAGCCUUGCAGAGCUCUCAGAAUCUCUGUUACAGUUUCUGCAUCUUCACUGGAUUCUGCGUCAAAGAGCGUUGAGGAAAAAAUCCAAAGAAGAGACCUCCAACGAACAAUUUUAUGUACACAAUGUCUGCUACCAGCGCCCUACAAGUUUUUUUUCCCUACAUACCACUGGAUCCACUCUGUAUACUCAACAUUUGAAAGUAGUUUUCUAUUUUACAUUUUCUUAAUUCUAAUUAAACAAAUCUUAAUCUUGA